AUGGCCCCAGGGAAGAUGUUUUGCAGCCAACCAAUCAGCAUCGGCACUGUGUGAAAUUCAGCCAAUCGGAAAGCAGACUCCCUCUGUCCCCAGCCUCAGUGGUUGGCGGAUCAGCGCUCCUGCUGCUUGGCGCCCCCCUGGAGACAGCCUGAACCACAGAGUCCUGCUUGCUUGACCUGAGCAGUGACAUUUUGGAGAAAUGUGCACAUCUGGAAAUGUCUUACAUUCCCACUGAUGAUUAUUAACUGAUGUUACAGACUCAGUUGUGUCUACAGCACAUUCCUGUGUUGACGUCCUAACUCCACCAUCUCAGAUUCUGACUGUAUUUGGAGACACGGCCUUCGAAGAAGUAAUGAAGGUGGCACCAUUCCCUAGGCAGGGGAUCUGGAACCAUAUGAGUGGAAAUACUGAUCUGAGCAGUAGUAUGCAUUAUUCAUUGCUCUCUGCUCUUGACUGUAGAUAUAAUGUAACCAGUUCUCUCAAGUUUCCAACACCGUGACUUCCUAGCCAUAAUAUUAUAACUUGGAAGUGUAAGAUAAA